GUCUACCACCAUACCACCCUGAACGCACCCGAUCUCGUCUGAUCUCGGAAGCUAAGCAGGGUCGGGCCUGGUUAGUACUUGGAUGGGAGAAGUGGGCAUAAAGGGCGCCUGGGUGGCUCAGUGGGUUAAGCC
rnacentral:rRNA from 1 species